UGGGGAAUAUUGGACAAUGGGGGAAACCCUGAUCCAGCGACGCCGCGUGUGUGAAGAAGGCCUGCGGGUUGUAAAGCACUUUCGGUGGGAACGAAAUAUGCCGGGCUAAUACCCCGGUAGGCUGACGUUACUCAAUGAAGAAGCACCGGCUAACUCUGUGCCAGCAGCCGCGGUAAUACAGAGGGUGCGAGCGUUAAUCGGAAUUACUGGGCGUAAAGCGCACGUAGGUGGCGACGUAAGUCGGGUGUGAAAGCCCCGGGCUCAACCUGGGAACCGCAUUCGAGACUGUGUUGCUGGAGUACGGAAGAGGAGGGCGGAAUUCCCGGUGUAGCGGUGAAAUGCGUAGAUAUCGGGAGAA
rnacentral:rRNA from 1 species